rnacentral:lncRNA from 1 species
GGAGAGCAAAGAUCUUGGAGGGGUUACAGUUUCCCUCCACCCUAAAAGAUCUGCUUGUGUUGGCAGCAGAAGAGUCUGUUUUUCCAAACAGGCUCUUCCCUUUCUUCUGUGAAUUUAGUUCAGAAAACCCUGCCAGGCUCCUAAGCGGGAGAGCCAUUAGGACACAUUGAACGCAGGAUCUGGAAAUGACGUAAGAAGUCACCAGCUGGUCAAAUGUUAGAAAGCCCAUCUUUUGAAAGCAGCACACUGUUUCGGCGGCAGGACAGGAGGGACAGCGGGGACCGAAGCCAGCUGCUGCCUCUUCCCUUCCUGCCCAGUUAGCAGUCCUUUUUCUACAGUGGAUUCCAGCAAAGGCGAGA